UUUAAUUUAAUAUUAUUUUAAUAUUUAUUUUAAUAUUCAAUAUAUAGUAUAUAAUUUUUAAUAUGAUAUCAAUUGUAGAUGUAAACGCCACAGCUUGCUUUAACAAUUUUUAUUCAACAGGUCUUCAGUUGUAGAUCGCGCGCAAUGCGAUCUUAGAGUCAGUGCUUGUACGAAGUAGUUUGAUUGUUUUGCAGCCGAAUAGGUUGCUUUAAAAAUAAAAUAAAGUAAAAUCGCGAAUUAGAGUCAGUGUUGUUCGCCGUUUAGAAUUUCUCGGUCGCAUUAGUAAAUCAAAAAACAAGAAUUCAUGUCAUAUUCUUGUUAAAAUCAUAUGUUCGCCGCGUUGUUAGAAUCAUUAACACACUUUCGGCCUAUUCGGGAGAAGAGGAUUGCGUUGCGAUAAAUAUUGUAAUGGUCGAAAGUGUGAACUUAAAAAUUCAUCCUCUUCAUCUUUACCGACGAUCGUAAAGCUUCGUCUGGAUAAAAUUACACAUCAAUCAAUGAUUCAACGAUUCAUCGUAUCAACGAUUCAACGAUUCAACGAUUCAACGAUUCAACGAUUCAACGAUUCAACGAUUCAACGAUUCAACGAUUCAACGAUUCAACGAUUCAACGAUUCAACGAUUCAACGAUUCAACGAUUCAACGAUUCAACGAUUCAACGAUAAUUUCAACCAACUUCACGACAUCAUUCGACCUCCUACGAGGGGGACGAGUGUUUUGGAGCCAUCGCAGAACUUCUUAAGUAGUGAGUGAAAAAUUUAAAGUUCCUCCGGUGCCCAUCAUGCCGAGGAUGAAAGGUCCUUAUCGGCACGGGUUACUGGUUGUAUUCGCAGACGUCCCAUGUCCGAAACGAGCAAAAGUGUCCGUGAUUAAGAUCUUUGAUUUUAUUCACGAGUGGUCCCUAUAUGUUUAGUUAGAUAUUUUCUUGUGCAUAUUUUAUUAUUAUUAUUAUAUAUAUAUAUAUAUAGAUCAGGCCAGGGUCUUCUUGUUUCAAAGUCAUUUAAUUCACAGUGCUGUUUAUUAGCACUUUUUUCUCUUUUCGUUUUUGCUCGCGAUAUUAAUAAUGAAAUCGGGCAUUCAUUUACCCGAUUUCGGUAUAAAGCAUAUAACGUGGUUUACGUUACAUGCAUUGCUUCGUACUUAGUCCAUUUAAUCGCGAUUUACUUCGAUAUUUUGAAAUAUCGAUUUAUCAAUAAAUGAGCAAGAAGACAAACCCCUUCCGCGACGGAUAGAUUCUGGAAGUUAAGUGGUGGAUUAUAAUCCCGUUCUUUCAUUAGAACAGCCAUUUAAUGAAAGGAGUCGUCCGAGGUUUUUUAUUAGAAUUAUAUAUUUUUUAAUAAUGAAAUUUCAUAACUGCAUAAUGCGUAUGCAUAUAUAUUAGCUAUGUGCAUAUUUCAUCCCUCCAUGUCAACGACUGCCUACCGCGGGUCGCUCAAAGGCCCUUAAGCGGUGCAUACAGGUGGGGUUGCAAAACUAUUUUUGCCACUUAUUAUUUUUUUACCACUUUUAGUGGUAAAACCCAUAUGUGGUGGUCACACUCAUAUGUGGUGACCGCCUACCAUCAUCCAUCCUUGCUUGAGCUCUUGCUAAUAAGACGUGCAAAGAGACUCUAGAGUCACAGUCCGCUUAAAUUUUUUAUAUAUAUAUUUUUAUAUAUUUUUUUAUAUAUUUUUUUAUAUAUAUUAUAAAUUAAUCAUUUUUUAGCUCAGGAUUUUCAGCACUAAUAUACUAAUACCCCUUUCUCCCCCCAUGCUUUCUGCGUUCUCAUCUAUGCGUUUAACCUAGGUGUUACUCGUUUGGGUGAGAAACAGUCAGUGUGGAUUUAGUUUUAAGUUUCCUUUUCAGCGGCUGUCAUUGUGCUGGUGAUUGCACGGUGUACCUUGCACUUGUAUGUGCGUUUUAGGAAGUGCAUUGUACAUCGUUUCGCGAUAACUUUUAAAUAGAUAUCUGAUAUAUCUAACAUAUAAUUAUAUUAAUAUCGGUUUGCAUAAUAGUUACCACAUUUUUGUGGAAAAUUUUAAAUACUCGUAUAUAUUACUAGUAUUUAUAUAUAUACUAGUAUGUACUAGUAUUUUUGCUUUAGUGAUAUAUGCAAUAAUCAUUAGCCUUGGCAGUCGAUUUCAGCAACUGGUACGUACUCCCAUAUAAUAUAUUAGAAAAAGUACGCGGUUGAACUAGGGUGUCGGAGGUGCCCCGGGGCAUGCUCUCUAGUGUAGGCUUUUGCACCCUGGUGGAGUGUGAGAGAACCGUGGAGUGUAUGUGUUGGUGUGAAUGUUUGCACUUUUUAAAUAUAGGUCAUAGGCAGGCAGGUAGCAUACUUUUCUGAGUGAAUGUGUCAAUUAAUUUUAAGUAGGUAGGGACCGGGUAAGGAUGCGAUUCCCACUCUGGAGUGGGAAGUCCUUUCUCCGGGGAUUUGUGAAGUUUCAGCAAAUUUUACGAUCUUUCAGCAUGGCUGAACUUUAUCUUUUUGUAUUUUUUUUUUAAUUUUUUUUUCUUACAUUUUUUGCUGACACUUUGCAUCGCGCGAUAUAUCAGUAUCAAACAGUUCGAAAAACUUUGCACCCAAUGAGAACAUCAGAUACAUCCCAUAUCUUUUGAACUUAGCAAAGGAUUUUGAAUUAGUUCGAUACUUAGUUUUAAAUUAAUUCUUGCACUUCGCGAUUCUUAAAAUAUUGAUUAUCUAUAUAUUUCUUAUUUAGAAAUAGAAUAUACCUACAUAUGUAAAAUGGAAAUAUUACAAUUCUUGUGAUCUUGACAUUUUACCGAAACUAUAUUCAUCUUUUAAGUGCAACGAGUUAAUAUUAGUUUGUAAUAGGUUCAUCGACUAGAAUGAAUAUUAUAUCUGCUGGAGCAUUCGAUUAAAUGUGCCUGUGUUAUUGUGUACGGUUGUUGGAUUCUUUGAGUCCAUUGAUCGUCCACAGGCUAGGAUAGCUUUACGGGUUAGUUGAAAUAUUUCUAUAUGAAUCUGUUAUUUUUAUUUUUUUUUAUUGAAGAAAUAAAUAAAUAAAUAAAGAGAGAUCGUUAGAAAAUCGAGACGCACCUAGGCAGAGUAGAAAACGCAGUUGAGAAUACGCGUUGGGACUCGUCAGUGCCGUUUGGGGUGAUUCAUUCGCGAAUUUUGCCAUACUGCAGUGGUUAUACUAUUUAGAAGAAAUCGAUACUUUACGUUGCAAGCGCUUACCGCUCGUUAGGUUAAGAAAAAAAAAAAAGAAAAAAAACAGAACAAACCUGCGUGCGAAAAUGUGUUUUUCACUUCCCAACCCCUUAGCUUGCGACUAUUGCGUCUCGUUUGAUGCGUGCGUUUACACGAGUGGUUUGAGUCUUGUUGCGUAAAGUGAGAUCAGGUCGGGAUUAGGUCGGUCUAGCUUAGGGACGAUUUCAUUCUUGUAGUAGCAACCACUGUAGUAUGUCAAUCUUUGUGGGUGCGUUGCUUCGAACGGUAGGGCGUUUUUUGAUGCGUAAACUUAGCUUGCGUCGCACGUAAGGAAUGCUCCAAUGCAGUGGUUAGGGCACGAAGCAAGAAGAGGCUAUGGCUGAAGAGGCCCCCACGUAUUGUGGCUCAAGAGGGCAACUAUCGACUACAAGUCAUUUUUCAAAGGUGAUCGGUAUGUCGAACCCUUCGUUAAUGGCUUGUGGUCUUAUUAAAAUCCCUUUUACCCUUUACCACGUUGACACUUAUGCUCGUAGUAGUUUGUUCCUGGAUGGAGAUGAUGGACCAUUCCAUCUCCUUGCUACGGUGUUCUGCACUCGCGUUCGUGAAGAUUUUUUUUUUUUUUUUUUUUUAUAUUAGUAUUGAGCUUUUGCAGUUAGUUAUUAAUUGAUAGAGUUAAUGCAAUUUUUUCUUAAAGUCGAGUCGUAUUUUUGAAAAGUAGAAUCAGUUUUUCAUUUCAGAGUAGAAUCAAGCCCUUUGCAUUUUCUACUUUUAUUUUUAUUUCUUUUUUUUUUCUAAUUAAAGUCAAGCCCUCCCUUUUUUCAUGUUGAAUUAAAGUCGAGUCUUUGCAUUUUUCUUUUUAAAUUAAAUUCGAGUCAUUACAUUUUCUUUUUUAAAUUAAAGUCAAGUCUUUGCAUCUUUUCUUUCUAAAUUAAAGUCGAGUCCUUGUAUUUUAAAGUUUUAAAGUAGAAUCUUUUCUCGAAGUAGAUUUUUAGUUACAAAAAUAGAGUCACGCUCGUUAAAUAUUGUGUGGACGUCCGUGGCCUGCAGCAGCAUUGCACUCAGGAGUGCAUUUGGAUACCCAAGCAUGUUGAUUUUUAAUUCAGAAUAAUCAUAUUUUAAUCAUAUUUUUUCAUGUUCAUAAUUUCAUAAUGUGUAUGUAUAUAUACGAGAUAUAUGCAUAUUUCAAUGUCAACACAGCUCUACCACGAGUUGCAAAAUGACUCUUAUGUGGUAAUCAUUAUCUUUAUCAUCUCCAUCCUCACCCUCAUUAUCUUUUCGCAAUAUAAUUCUGAUUAUUCUGAUUAAUCUGAUUAAUCUGAUUAUUCUGAUUAUUCUAUUUAUUUUGGUUAUUCUGAUUAAAAAUCUACAAGACUUGAUGACGAAUUGAAAUACCUGCAUUCAGGAAUGCAGAUGAAUAUAUAAAACGGCAGUCAGCACUCAGGAGUGCAUAUUAAAAUAUGUCAAGGAUAUACAUUUUUAUUCCAAAAUUAUUAGCAAAUGAAUAUGAGAUGAAAGAUUUAAUAAAUAUAUAUGAGGGAGAGAAAGAGGAAGAAAGUAAGAGUAUUUUUAUUAUAUAUAUGAGAGUUUCAUAAGAAAUAUUAAGAAAAUGUAACGAAUGUUACAAAGAUUAUUAAUAAAUGUUCAUACAUAUUUGAAAGAAAUAUAUAUAUUUUUUGGAAUAAAAAGGUAUAAGUCUUGGUAUAUAAAUGAAACGAAUAAAAUGACUUGACUGCACUCAGGAGUGCAUAUGAAAGGUUAUUAAUGAUACAAACAGUAAGUAUAUGAUUGCAUUCAGGAAUGCAAAUGAACAAAUUAUAGUAAGGAUAUACAUUUCACAUUCGGAAUGUUCAAAGAUGAAUGAAUGCACUAAUAAGGAUACUUCAUGGAGAAAUAUAUAAAUACGUCGGACUCUGGUGAUUUUUUUUUCAAUAUACGAUAUUAAAUUUGUCUAGCAGUAAAUAAAUGAAAUUUCAUUUUGAAUAAUUGAAUAAUAAUUGAAUAAUAAUUGAAUAAUAAUUGAAUAAUGUUUAAAUGGUGCAAAUGAAUUAAAGGAAAAUUUGAAUUAUUCCGAUAAGAUAUGUAUAAGUCUUGCUACAUGAAUGAAGCGAUAUAAAUGGCAGCCAGCACUCAGGAGUGCAUAUUAAAAUAUGUCAAGGGUAUACAUAUUUAUUCCAAAAUUAUCAACAAAUAAAUAUGAGGUGAAAGACUUAAUAUACAUAUAUGAGAGAGAGAGAGAGAGAGAGAGAGAGAGAAAGAGAAGGAGAGGAGAAAGAGAGGGAAAAAGGGAGUAUUUUUAUUAUAUAUGUGAGAGUUUCGUAAGAAAUAUCAAGAAGAUUAUUAAUGAAUGAUACAAAGAUUAUUAACAAAUAUUUAUUCGCAUUUAAGAGAAGUAUGGAUAUUUUUUGGAAUAAAAAUGCAUAGGUCUUGGUAUAUAAAUGAAGCGAUUGAAAUGGCUUGCCUGCACUCAGGAGUGCAUAUGAUAGAUCACAGUAAGUACAUGCCUGCAUUCAGGAAUGCAGAUGAACAUAUUAUAGUAAGGAUAUGUAUUUCUCAUUCAGAAUGAUCAAAAGUACAUGAAUGAAAAUGCACGUAUGAAAGUAUUAUAUAAUAAGUAUUUAAAGUAUUCCUACCUCAAAGUAUUUCUUUAACGUUACUUAAUAAUAAAUCAAGAAUAUUUUAUACUCUUUCUAAUAUAAUAACUUAUUUAUAUUUAAGUAGUGCGCAAAUGAACGAAAAGAAAUUUUGAAUCAUUCUGAUUAGAAAUGUAUAAGUCUUGCUAAGCGAGCGAUAUGAUACAAAAAUAACAGCCUAGCACUCAGGAGUGCAUAAAAUAUGUCAAGGAUAUACAUUCUUAUUCCAAAAUUAUCAACAUAUGAAUAUGAAAUGACAGAAUUAAUAAAUAUAUACAUGAGAGAGAGGGAGAGAGAGAAAGAAGGAGUACGUUAUUAUAUAUAUGAAAGUUUCAUAAGAAAUAUUAAGAAGAUAUAAUGAAUGAUAUAAAGAUUAUUAGCAAAUGUUUAUACAUAUUUGAGAGAAAUAUGAUUAUUUUUUGGAAUAAAAGUGCAUAAGUCUUGGUAUAUAAAUGAAGCGAAUGAAAAGGCUGUUCCACACUCAGGAGUGUGAGCGAAAAUAAUUCAGGGACAGGUUUGCAUUCAGGAAUGCACCUGGGAUACUCAAGCAUGUAGAUUUUCAUUUCAGGAUAAUUUAAAUUUUUUUAUAUGAUUAUUAGUAAAUCACUAAUUCUUUUUGAAUUUCUUUUUUAUAUAUACUCAUUUUUGAUGAUUAUAUAUUUAUGUAUAUAUUUUAUGCAAUGCCAACAUAGUUUUUUUCACAAGAUGUUAGAACGGCUCAGUUAUUGUAAGAGUCAUUUUACAUAUCUUGUAUGAAUAUAAUCAUCAUCUUAUAUAGAUUCUAAUUAUUCUGAUUAAAAAUCUAUAAGAUUUGAGAUAGCUAUGAAUGUUAGGAUUUAUUAAAGCAAGCAGUGACGAUAAAAUAAAUUAAUAAGAAUAAUAUGCAACGAUGUAUUAAAACUAUAUUUUGCCUUUAAUAUGUAAUAUUUUCAUAUAUAAAUUUUAUAUAUAAUCUUACUUUUUUCUUUCAGAUUUAAUAUUUCAGUACUAUUUUAUAUAUAAUAUACAAACUAUAUGAUUUGAAAAUUGUGAAAUUAUAUUACUAUAUUUUUUAUAAUUUAAUAGAUAAAAAAGUGUGGUACAUAUAAACGAUGUAAUAUGUACAUCAGACACUUCGCGUUAAUAUAAACGUAAUAAUGUAAGAUAUGUGUAAUCCAUCGAUUAAAUAUAAAUCUGAUCUCGUUAUGGAUAUGUUUAUGGCGGUAUACAAAAUUGUGUAUGCAUUUUAUAAUACGACACAAGGUGCAGUAUACUUUUACUCUUUUCCUUUUUUUUUUUAAACGCGACCUAAUUCUUAAAUAUUGUGAAAUAUUGAUAAUUCUUUCCCUUUUUUUCAUAACGUGUCUUGAGUGAUUUACAUUAUAUAUCUUAAUUGUAUUAAACAAUUGAUAAUUUA